AUUGAACGCUGGCGGCAGGCCUAACACAUGCAAGUCGAGCGGAUGAGUGGAGCUUGCUCCAUGACUCAGCGGCGGACGGGUGAGUAAUGCCUAGGAAUCUGCCUGGUAGUGGGGGACAACGUUUCGAAAGGAACGCUAAUACCGCAUACGUCCUACGGGAGAAAGCAGGGGACCUUCGGGCCUUGCGCUAUCAGAUGAGCCUAGGUCGGAUUAGCUAGUAGGUGAGGUAAAGGCUCACCUGGGCGACGAUCCGUAACUGGUCUGAGAGGAUGAUCAGUCACACUGGAACUGAGACACGGUCCAGACUCCUACGGGAGGCAGCAGUGGGGAAUAUUGGACAAUGGGCGAAAGCCUGAUCCAGCCAUGCCGCGUGUGUGAAGAAGGUCUUCGGAUUGUAAAGCACUUUAAGUUGGGAGGAAGGGCAGUAAGUUAAUACCUUGCUGUUUUGACGUUACCAACAGAAUAAGCACCGGCUAACUUCGUGCCAGCAGCCGCGGUAACAC
rnacentral:rRNA from 1 species